rnacentral:rRNA from 1 species
CUCCUACGGGACGCAGCAGUGAGGAAUAUUGGUCAAUGGGCGGGAGCCUGAACCAGCCAAGUCGCGUGAGGGAAGACGGUCCUAUGGAUUGUAAACCUCUUUUGUCGGGGAGCAAAGAGAUCACGUGUGGUCAAAAGCGAGAGUACCCGAAGAAAAAGCAUCGGCUAACUCCGUGCCAGCAGCCGCGGUAAUACGGAGGAUGCGAGCGUUAUCCGGAUUUAUUGGGUUUAAAGGGUGCGUAGGCGGGACGGUAAGUCUGAAGUGAAAGCCCGGGGCUCAACCGCGGGACUGCUUUGGAAACUGUU